UACGUAGGGUGCGAGCGUUUGUCCGGAAUUAUUGGGCGUAAAGAGCUUGUAGGUGGUUUUGUCGCGUCUGCUGUGAAAAUCCGAGACUCAACCUCGGACUUGCAGUGGGUACGGGCAGACUAGAGUGUGGUAGGGGAGACUGGAAUUCCUGGUGUAGCGGUGAAAUGCGCAGAUAUCAGGAGGAACACCGGUGGCGGAAGGCGGCCCACUGGAUCGGUACUGACGCUUGGAGGGUGCGAAAGCGUGGGGGAGCAAACAGG
rnacentral:rRNA from 1 species